rnacentral:lncRNA from 1 species
UAGAUUAAAUCACUUUGAUCACUAAAUAAAUAAUAUUAAAAAUUUAAAAAAUUUAUUUUUUAAAUAUUUUAAAUAUGAUAAAUUAAGUCUAAUAAAGUUGAUUAUCGAUUUGAAAGUUUUAUCAUCGAAAACGGCUUAUGAGCACGAAGAUCUCUACUCUAAAUACUCAAUAUAUAGUAAAUGUUUACAAAGACUAAAAUAA